AAGAAAAAAUUAGGUUCUCACCCACACGAUCUCAUUAAGAAUAAGUUUAAAAAUUAUUGUGUUUUCAUCACUUCAGGGGCAAAUUGGUCCAAUUUCCUCUAAAAAAGAUGGUUAAGUGCCCUCUCUCUUACAAGUGCCUCAAACGUAAAAAGAUUCUCACAAAGUGCCUAAUAAUGUCACAUUUCCUAAAUUUUAACCCCGGUUAGUGUUUCCGUUAGCAAUGUUAACAGACGUUAACUCGUAAAUGUUAUUUUAUCAAUUUUUAUUAAAUGAAGGUUUUAAAAGGUAACCAAAAUUAACUUAGGUAUUUUUGUUCCAAAUUUAGUAUUAGAGGUAUUAAACGGACAAAUUUAAAAUAGAUGGCGGAUUUUUCAGGUUUUUCCCUCCAGAAAACUAGAAAUACAGAAAAUAUCAAAAGGGUGGUUCUCUGGGGAAGGAGACAACAGCUGUCAUUCAUAAAUGCCAAAUAUAUUCAGAUUAAUU
rnacentral:sRNA from 1 species